CAUUUUUUGAAAACGCCCUGAACACAAAUGUGUUAAAAUAAGCUUCUUCCAGAAGGCCAGGUGUGUCCGAGAAUUUUGGAAGAUAGUAAUAAUUUACUUCGAACACCGAAGACAAAGAAACAGGAAUCGUGGCAAGCAAAACCAAGUUGUUCAUGUUGCUUAAAAUUUGAUAAUUGAUAUCAUUGAUAAGCCCAAACAUUUGGAUUUCACGCGGGAAAUAAGAAUCAUCACCAUGUAUUGGAAAAAUUAGUGAAAUAUGUCGCACGUACAUUGGUCGAUUUAAACGCACAGAAACCUGUACAGUAUCUUCGUAAUUACACCAAUUACUAUUGAUGCUUGUGUCAAGUAAAGCCGUCGGUAGAUUUGCUUUUUUUCCCCAGUAAUCCCUUAAAAUGUCAGAAAAUUUAGGCUUAGGAAAUGUCCAUCCGUAGUCCACGACAGCACCAACAACUUUCAAGGCAAAGUCCGGGUGAUCAGCAACAUUUCUCUGG